rnacentral:lncRNA from 1 species
CCACCCAAAUACAUCACAAAGCAAAUAUUUCACAAAGAGAAUAAAACUAGUCUAAAUAAAUUCAAAGGCAAUCUACUAGGAUGUCAUCUGAAUGUGAAGGAAAAAAUUCAUGGCCGGAGCUCGUCGGAGCCAAGGGGAAGGAUGCGGAGGCUAUAAUCGAGAGCGAGAAUCGUUUAGUCAAUGCCGUGAUCGUGAAAAAAGGAUCAUUUGUCACUAUGGAUUAUCGAUGUGAUAGAGUUUGGGUUUGGGUCGAUAAAAAUGGAAUUGUCACCCAGAUCCCUAUAAUUGGUUAAUUCAUAUAUGUGAUGUUAUGUGAACAUAGUGUAAUAAGAAGUUGUAUCCAUCUCCAUGCAUCAGUAUUAUAUUGAUAAUAGUAAAUUAUUUCCCUUUCUGCAUCUAUGUUAUAUGGUUCGAUAAAGUUGACAGUUCGUUAUUCUUCUUCUCUGUACCCUUUGUUUUGUUCCACCCUCAAAGCAGUAGCUCAUGGCUUGUUAAGCUCCGAUGUUGACCACUAAUUCCAUUGGUGAGAUUGGUCCAUUCGACGCUGUGAGUAUAUGAAAUAGGUUCGUAGUUGUAGUCAGUUAAAAAUAGACUUACUUUUUGCAGUGCCCGUGAAACUCAAUUUUAAUUUUACUCUGCUAUCCAAAACUUAAUUUGCGUCACUUGAUCCUCCAAAAUUAAUUUUUUUAAUCACUCUGACAUUUUUCAUCAAUUUUGUAAGAAAAAUCCGUGAAGUCUUGGACCUGGCACAAAUGGGCCCCCACAAGGUAGUGUUAUUGCAUCAGUUUUUAUAUACACCGAUUCCCUAAUGUAAGGGAGGGGAUUUAACCUAAGCCCACAUAGGCCACCAUGUUUGAAAUUAGGUAUCGAAUUCACGAGUUGAACUCAAUAUCUUUUACUUAAAAAUAAAGAGAAAUAUCAUUACACCGUAAUGUUAGUGAUAAAAUCCUUACCAUAAGUGAAAUGUACUAGUGGAGUGGGUGUUCGUAAAUUAACAUGAAAUUAACGGAAUUGAAGAUUUUAAUAUUCUAAAAUGACCUUUUUAAUAGCAAGUUAACAGAAUUGACCGCAUUAGCUAAUAGAGUAAGACAUAUGGACCAAAUUGAUCAAAUUGAAAACACGAGGACUAAAUUGAUUGAACAUGUAAAAUGCAUGAACCAUUUUGAUCAUGCAUGGACGUUGAUACGAAUAUAGUAUUAAUAGUGUAGAUAUUGUUUAUACGAUGCCUAUAUGAUAGCUAUAUUACCUAAAUAUAGGCAUUAUUAUUGAUAUAUUUUGGAUACACAUUCUUUUCACGUAAUAUUGUUGAUAAUCACUGUAGAUAGUUGCCAAUAGGGAAUUGUUAUGUCGGCGAUAUGUCGUGGGUAUUUCUCUCAAAUUCUCCUUCGCACCUUCGUCUUUUUCAUCUACAUCUCCAUAGAUUUCUCAAGCACCUCCUAGCUUUCAUUGUCUUCCAUGGUUACCAAUAACGAAUAUCCCUAUCCAAUUUCGGAUUAACAUAAUGUAAAACUAAAAGAUGACAAAGUGAAUUAAUUAGUGAAUCUAGUACAAAUCGAAUCACAUUAAUCAAGACAAAAUUCCUUUUUACAAACUUGCCCCCAUCCAUCUGCUCAACCAAAUAAACACCCAACCUCAACAACCCAAUUCCAGAAAAAAGCAAAAAAUAAAAAAUAAAAAGUCCAGUCAAAGCAAUAAGCUUUAAACCCAAUGAUUUACAUGAGAGACACAAUUGCAAAGAUGAAGAUGAAGAUGAAAAUAGCGUGUAACAAACUCAGUUUCCGUGCCUCCACCAUGAGCAUGAAGUUGAAGUUUCCGUGUAACAAAAAGUCUUUCCAAUGUCUAAAAUUUCUUAUAACAGCAACGAGCUUAAGACUUCCUAUUUCGGCAGCGCCCGGCCGUUCAGUUUUAAAUGCAGCCAAACUCCCUAUAUUUGAUGUCCAAAUUUUGUCAACUAUGUCUAUCAUCAAAGGACGUACGUGUAUCUAACAAACAAGUAUUCAUAAGCGGCAAUAAACUUGACUUCGUCGUUAUUCACAAAUUGCACCUUAAGUUGUCUUUAUUUUUUUACCAAAUAUACUUUCUUUAUUUCAAACCAAAACUUUAUAUUCUUCAUUUUGCUUCCACAUGUUAAGGCCACCGAUCGUGAACCAUAAAAAGACCCUAAAGCGAAUCUUGGAUAUGCCACCGAUCAUUUUGCUUUGGCAUCAAAUAAUUUUAUAAAAUUGUAACGUAUUAGGGUUUAAAAUAUGAAGUUUUAACGAAACAAUCUCGAUACUAUCCACUUUAACAAAAAAUGACAUUUUUACUCUAAAAAGUCACUCAUGUUACGAUUCACUUACAACACAUUUUUGUCAUUUUGAUUAAAACUCAAAGUUUUCAAAUCAUUUUCAUUAAUUUUUUUUUUUUAAAUAUCGAUAUAGUUGGAAAUAUCAAUGUGCAAAUUUCUAAAAAAUAUCGAUGGAAUUAUCGUUAUUGGUUGCCUUCGACGGAAAUUAUGAAAAUUUGUAAUGAGCAAAGCAUAUCAACUCAUUCAGAUUUAAUUGAAACUAGAGAAAUUUUCUCAAAAAAAUUCAAAUGUUCAAAAUCUGCAAUGUGUUUUGGCAACAUUAAUUUUUGUAUGUAUGAAUAGGUAAAUAUCGUCGAGAUUCAUUGAUCUUCCUAUAUUUUGUCGAUAUAGGAUGAAGUUUGCAUUUCACCCAGUUUCCAUAUCGAUCCUUAAAUUUCCGGAUAUUUCAAAGAAAAUACUGACCAUUUCAUGAAUAUUUCAAACUCUGAUAAGUAUACAAAGCAGAGUUUCUAACUAACAUUCAAAUGUAUAGUCAAUAAUGACAACAAACCAUAAGCUAUCCAGUUGUAUAUGCACUUCUAUAAAUAUGCAUCUAUCUCUUCCUCUUCCUUAAGCUAAUACAUCACAAACAAUAUAUCUUACAAGAGAGAUCAGACAAGUACUCAAACGAAAAGCGAGCGAGGAUGGCAUCUGAGCAAUGUGAGGGCAGUGAAGGUAUGUAAUGAACAAGUAUAUGUUUAAUAUAUAGAGUGCGCGCGCGCGCAUGUAAUAGUACAAUUGAUUGCAGUCUAAUUACUUAAUUCAUAUUAAAAUAAUGCAGGUAAGUAUGUAUGGCCUGAGCUGUUGGGAGCCAAGGGUACCGUUGCGAAGGCAACAAUUAAGAGGGAGAAUUCCACUGUCAAGGUUGAGAUCGUGGUAGAAGGAACCAUUGUACCAGCAGAUUUGCGAUGUGUAGCUGAUAGGGUUCGUGUUUGGGUCGAUACAGAUGGCUUUGUUACUAGGGUGCCUAUCAUUGGUUAACUUAAUUAUAUCCAAAUUAUAUAUUGGGUUCUUGUAAUCCUAUGUUUGUACUUUCUCUAAUGCAAAUAAGGAGUCGUAGUAUUCUCCAUGCAUUGAAUUUUUCUUCCGUGUACUCCUAUAUGAAGCUCAAUAUGUAGGAUUCAAGUUGUUUUGGUAUCCUCAUUUGUUUUUCUCUCUGUUCAACUUCAUCAAAGUAUAGAUUAAGAAAAAAUAUUCGGAUAAUCAUGUCAUCCUUACAUGCACACACGCUCCCACAUUGCCAUCGAGUCCUCAAAUCUCGUCGGGACUUUCAACUUGGUUAAAAGAAAAAUAAGACACUUACCAAUUAUUACAACUGAAGAUUUCUCAAACGAACCCAUCUCUUGAUUCUCAAACAAACCAACACGAGUUAGUGAAACUCAAAUUAAAAAGCAAAGUACAAAAUUACGAGCAUGUUUGAAAUUGCUUUUGGAAGAUGUGUUUAAUUAUCUUCAAAUUUGACCGACCCAAUUAAUUUCAAUCAAGUCACGUAGACAUCUCUCAAGUAAUUUUGUCUUCCCUUGAAUCUGAAUGAAUUAUGAACGAUUUAGGUUGGACCUAUGGUUAAUGUAUUGUAGAGCUAAACCCUAAAUAAUUUGGAUCUCUAUAUUUUCUAUAUUUUUUGUGAAUGUAGCUAAAUAAUUUAGUAAUUCAAUAGGUCUUAAAAAUCCAAACAAAUCCUUAAUUAUUUCACCUUCGUAGGAUCAAGCCCUAUAUCGAUAAUCGUGUGGAUAUAUAGCAUGCUGAAUUGAACAAUUAGAUAAUAAAAAAAUGAUGUGAUAUUCACACACCCCAUUUUACUUCUCUCAUACCUUUUUAAUUUUCGACCGUCGGAUCUGAUGAAUUGAAGAAGAUCAACGAACAGAAAUUAUCAAGGGGUGUGUGAGAAGUAAAAUAGGAUGUGUAGAUAGCACAUCCCUAAAAAAAAUCCAGUUGUUUUGCAUGAAAGUGUUUUCCAACCUCAUUAAAACAUAACACUUGGCAAGUGCCAGCUGAAUUAGGUCCAAUAUUUGGGAACCGGAUCCCCUAUGGAUCCAACCAUGCUGAGCCCCCUAAUUAAUGCAUCUGGAUUAUUGAAAUUUGAUUCAACGGUUACAAUUAUUAUAACUUUUAGAAUAGCUCCCUAUUUGUAGUCGUUGAAUCAAAUUUCAAUGAUCCGAAUACAUUGAUUAGUGGGCUCAACAUGAUUGGAUCCGGUUCCGGCCCGUAAUGCAUUCAAAUAUUGCUUUUAUUAAUGACUUAGGUUACCAUAUUAAUGAGGAUUCGACGACUAAACAGUGUCCACCCAUUUAAUCUAGCUUUCAUCCCGUUAGCUUUUAAUAAAACUAAACAAAAUAGUCAAUGAGUAAUACGGUUUAGUUGUAUUUCUCUUCAUUUGUAAGAGACGAAAUAAAAGUACAAAAACUAGCAGCCACCGUGUCACCACCCACACUAAUAUCGGCAGUCCCCGCCGCCAGCAACAUAGUCACCCACGUCAGCGGCUAUCCCUACUCUUACUUGCCGUCGCCAAAAGCCGUCUCCAUCUACACUUUAUAAGUUUUAACGUUGCAGAAGGUUACAAUUAAAUAGCUCAAAGGAUUUUUUGGGCCUUUUAAUGUUAGGUACCAUAACCAUUUACUUCGACUAGGGCUUUGUUUCCAUGGAAUGUACGCACUGGCGCAUGUUUCGGAUAAAUACUAAGAUUACAUUACAUCAACCCUUCCUUUAGAGUGAUGGAUCCGUACUCAAACCCAGAGCUUGUUACGGCGGUACCCUCCUGCUUUUAGGCUUCAUUUCAUUUGUUUAUACAGAGAAAUGACGGUCGAGAAAAAACAUAGAAGAAGUCUGUCAGGCUCUACCGUAUUUCUCAACAUAAACAAAUGCAUUGGAUCCGUGAUAUUCAUAUUUAUGCGAUCUCUUUUCUUUUAUUUCCAGUUGCUAAUUUGUUCUGCACUUGUCUUUUCGUGUAGAGAAUCUAAGUGAGUAGAAAUUUUAAUUAUAAAUUUUAUUUAGAUGUUUUUUGCAUAUGUCCAGACAAGCUGUGUUCGUGUAUAUUUAUGUGUCCAGACUUGCUCAUAUUUUGAUCUUUUAUGAUUUAAUUUUACAGGUUUUGAGUUAUUUCAACUUAUUAAAUCUCUUAAAUAUCAAAAGGUCAAUGCUCCCAAGUGACAUGUUUGAUCCAAGUGGUGGGGAUUUAAUUGCAACUUGGUGUUGGGUUCUUACUGUCUAUAUGAUAUUUGAAGAUAAAAUUAUGGCGGGCUGUACAUGAUACGAUAUUGGGUUUUGACCAUGACGAUUAGUUGGUAGUGUUAUCAAAUGUGAUGACACAUGUAAAUUUAAAAUGUUAUGGGUUUUUUGGCUCUCGGUUGUUCAUGUGCUACUUGCAUUGGUAAUAUGAGCAGUCUUGCUAAUUGAUGCUAGCGAAACUAGGCAUGACAUAAACUAGUAGAAUCAGUGAAUAAAUAUCCAGUUAAAAAGAACUGUUUUUUAGGAUAUUGUGAUUAGUGGUUUGUUGAUUUGCACUCGACUUGAAGAAUUGUUAGGAAAUUCAUCUGAUCCUCGAUUCCCUCUAAAGAACAAGCGUGAAACAAUAGAGAUGCAGUCAAAAAGUACAAAAGUAAACCAAUCACACAACAUGAAUGUACUAGAUUUAUUCAAUAUGAGCAACGUCUGAGGUUUGUUAGCUAAAAGAUAUUCGAUAGGAAAACAGAUACAAGCGCUCAAGUGUUUCCUCACUAUCAUUCAUAGUUAGGGUUUCUAAGUACUUAUAUAAGACUUUAUUUGAGUUAGAUGGAUUAGAAUAGGAAUAAAAUGAGGAAUCAUAUCACAAGUAAGAAUCCAAAAGAACCAAGCUUGGGGCUAAAAGAAUAACUAUGCAUCUGAAUACUCGGCCUAAACUGAUGAAGAAGAAGACAUUAAGGUUUUGGGGGGUUGGGCUAAGGCCUGGUUUGGCACUAAAGUGAUUCUGAAAAAAAAAUGGUAUAAAAAAAAUCUGGGAGCUGUUUUUGUGUUUGGUAAACAUUCAGCUUCAGCUUUUUUUUCAUAGUUUUGGGUGAAAAAAGCAAAAAACAAGAAGUUGCAAAACCCAGCUUUGAAAAACAAGCUUUUUUUCACAUCUGUUUUACAUAAAAGUUUACUAAUCACUAUAAUACUGCUUUUUUUUCUUUUCAAAAGCACUUUUACAAAAAAGUUUACCAAACACUCUGCUGCUUUAUUUCAUAGUUGUUUAUUCUCACAGCAUAGCAGAAGCAGCUUUUUUUUCAAAGCACAGCAAUACCAAACCAGCCCUAAGAGGGGCUAAAGUCUGAGGGGCCUAAAAGCAGCUGUUCACAUUCAAAUGAUGGUGUCACAAAAUCGUUUAGUCAUCUAAUUGUUAUCUAACAAAUAGACGAACUAUGUUCCUCAUUUAAUUACAACAUUAAUCAAAUAGUAACAAUUUUUAAUUUGGUUGAUAUUUUUCUUAGUUCAUCUUUAUAGGGUGAACUAAAAAAUGAAUGAUUUCGAUUAUCAAACAACAUUGCAGGAUGAGUAAAAGAGCCGAGAAGGCUCAUUUGAGAAGAUUGCUAGCAUCCCACUAUUUUUUUGACCUGCAACAAAAUUAAAUUGACUUUUUUUUUUAAGAAAAAUUAAAUUGACUUUGAAUAUAUUGUUGAAUUCAAACAGUUUUGUAUUUGGUAACUACUAUUGACCAAAAUUUUAUCAUUCCUCGUUUUGCAAGUACAUGCAUGCUCAUCCGGAUCGAAAAAGAUAGACUACACAAUCUUGGCGGUACGGUUUGUACACACAUUACGUUUGAAAACAAAUCAUAUUAACGUUCGGCCUACGCAACACCAGAGUCAGUAACAACCAACUACUAUCCAUUAAAUGAUACCAAUAUAAAUGCACAUUUCUUCCCCACCCAAAUGCAUCACAAAGCAAUACUGCACACAGAGAGCAAAACUAGUACUCUAGAUAAAACAAAGGCGAUCUGCUAGGAUGUCAUCUGAAUGUGAAGGGAAGGAUUCAUGGCCUGAGCUCGUCGGAGCCAAGGGGGCAGAGGCGGAGGCAACUGAUAUGAUUUUUUAGAACCUACGGAAAUAGGGUUAAAAUCACAUGAAAUACUUGCAAGAAUACAAGGAUAUUGUAGUAUAGAUGUUCAUGAUAGGUCGUUCUCCUCAAAGGCUAUUUUAAUAAUUUAUGUAAAAAUACUUCCUAAUUAACUGC